AACCCUUGCCAUUAGUUGCUACGAAAGGGCACUCUAAUGGGACUGCCGGUGACAAACCGGAGGAAAGGUGGGGAUGACGUCAAGUCCUCAUGGCCCUUAUAGGUGGGGCUACACACGUCAUACAACUGGCCGGUACACGAGGGUACGCCAACCCGCGAGGGGAGCCAAUCCCACAAAGCCGGUCGUAGUCCGGAUCGCAGUCUGCAACUCGACUGCGUGAAGUCGGAAUCGCUAGUAAUCGCGGAUCAGCAUGUCGCGGUGAAUACGUUCCCGGGUCUU
rnacentral:rRNA from 1 species